rnacentral:rRNA from 1 species
CACACCGUAAACGAUGAUUGCUAGGUGUGGGGGGUCUAACCCCCUCCGUGCCGUAGCUAACGCAAUAAGCAAUCCACCUGGGGAGUACGGCCGCAAGGCUGAAACUCAAAGGAAUUGACGGGGGCCCGCACAAGCAGUGGAUUAUGUGGUUUAAUUCGAAGCAACGCGAAGAACCUUACCAGGUCUUGACAUCCGACUAACGAAGUAGAGAUACAUCAGGUGCCCUUCGGGGAAAGUCGAGACAGGUGG